rnacentral:lncRNA from 10 species
UAAUUGUUACUGUCUUUUUAAAAUUUUCCUAUUUGCCUUCUUUCUCAAAGAAAAUUUGGUAACAGAGUUGAGAUUAAUUCAAGUCUUGACAUGCUGUAACUUAAUUAUCUCUGGAUCACCUAUGCAGACAUGAUAUCUGGAUUUGGACAUAUAGAGAUGGGAACUCUAUUUUAUUCAGCCUUUUCAUUGCUGGAUCAGCAUUUAUUCCAAUUUUCCAUUUCCUUCUGUGGCUUCUUUUGAAGUCAUCAUGCUCUAGUGAUGGACAGAAUACUUCAAAGCAUUUUAGGCUCUCUAGUUCACGGAGCACAUCUUUCUCAUCUGAGUGCUC